CGGGUAUGGUUCAGUGGUAGAACACGACCUUCCCAAGGUUGAGGCACGGGUUCAAUUCCCGUUACCC
rnacentral:tRNA from 1 species